rnacentral:rRNA from 1 species
GGAUUAAGAGCUUGCUCUUAAGAAGUUAGCGGCGGACGGGUGAGUAACACGUGGGUAACCUGCCCAUAAGACUGGGAUAACUCCGGGAAACCGGGGCUAAUACCGGAUAACAUCUAGCACCGCAUGGUGCAAGAUUGAAAGGCGGCUUCGGCUGUCACUUAUGGAUGGACCCGCGUCGCAUUAGCUAGUUGGUGAGGUAACGGCUCACCAAGGCGACGAUGCGUAGCCGACCUGAGAGGGUGAUCGGCCACACUGGGACUGAGACACGGCCCAGACUCCUACGGGAGGCAGCAGUAGGGGAUCUUCCCGCAAUGGGACGAAAGUCCUUGACGGAGCAACCGCCGCCGGUGAGCGAUGAAAGGGCCUUCGGGGGUCGUAAAGCCUCCUGUUUUGUUAGGGGAAGAACAAAGUAUUGAAGUUGGAAUAAAGCUUCAAUGCCUU